UGUGACUAGCAACCUUUACUACUUGUGAAAAUAAGUUCAUAACGAUUAGGUGAAAUUCACUUAUAUUCUAGCAUCAAAUUCAUGCAUGUAAAUUAAGCGUGCACUCUCAACCAACAUACACAAAUCAGUUUUUAUACGAACGGAUAAGUAAAUUGAAAUCACAACUUAUGAAAUCACAACUGAAGGUAAUCAAUUCAUAUUACAAAUAUAUUCAUGGUUUCGAAUUAACCUCUAGCCAAAAUAAAUUUAAUUACACAUUAUUAAAACAAAAAUAAAAUAGAAGUUUGGAAAGAGUUAACCGAGAAAAUAGAUUGAAGCCUUCUGCUCUCUGUGCUCUGAUGCUUCUUCUGCUGUGCUUCUCAUCUCCCUCCCGCUGCCUCUCACUCCUCUCUUCUCUGACUUUUCUUCUGCUGCCAAGGCAGCCUCUCCUCGCGGACUCCCCUUGCUUGCGUCUGUCUCCCUUUGCUAUUCUUUGCGCCACCUGGACUCCUUCCUUUCCGCCUUCUUUCCAGCUGCCAAAGGCAGCUUUGCUGCUUCUCUCUCUGACCUCCCCUUUCGUCCUCACAAACUCUCCUUUUGCCAGCUGCCAAGGGCAGCUGUUAUUAUUCCAUACCCCUGCUGUCUCCCCGUGUUCUGUCCCCCAUGUUCUCUACUAUUUUAUUCUUUUGAUCUCUGCACAUGCCCUUCACGUUCCUUUCCGCCUUUUCUAUUCUUUUAUUCUUUCUUUUCUGCUGUCCUCCUGCCUUUCUUCUUAUUUUAUAUUUUCUUUUCCUUGCUGGUUUCAUGCUUUGCAAACAUCAUAAUAAUGAGAGGGACAAACAUUGUUUAUAAAAUGUAAAUUAGUAUUAUCAUGUGACAAUAAAAGGUAAAUUUGCAUAACAGAUCCUAUAAACACAAAAAUAACGUAAAUAGCUCAAAAAUAUAAGGAACUAACUAAGAAAAGACGAGUGAAUUCGAAGUAAAAAUAUAUAUAAAUAUGAUCCGAUCAAAUACCCCCACACUUAACUUUUGUUAGUCCUCGAGCAAAACAAAGAAAACAAGAACAAGAAGUAACAAGAAAAACAUUAGCUUCCCUCUAUGUGACCCUCAUAGAAAUUUAUUUAAGAAAACAAAUCAUCAAGAACCGUAGCUAGCAUCAAGGAACUAAUCCAAGUUCAUCUUCCUUAUUCAAAUAUUAGCAGUAAUCUUUGAAUCAUCCUUGAAGUGUAGUGUGUGAGAUAGCCAUGCUAAUGCAAUUUCAAGUUUUUAUUCUUAAAAUCAUCAUAUGCAAACUAGUGACAUUCUCACUGAAUAUUCACUCAAUCACACAUGUGUUUAGUUUUAAUGUGUUUCGCUCAAAGAAACAAAUGUGAAAUUUCUACCAUAAGCUUGCAUAAAGAUCACUUCUCCACAGUCAUAAUUGCAAAACUUAAAUCAAGAGGACUUUUAUUGGAUGUAAUGAGGCUUAGGGAUAGGGUUAUUGAAACGAAAGAAUAGGAAAACACAAGUUCCAAGCUACAUUUCAAGCAAUUCUUUUCUUUAGAUUUAUAAGAACUCAAGCUCUCCAGCAAUUCUUCUAGCACCUCCAACCAUACUCUUAAACUGAACUUUAAAAACUUUUUAUUUUCUUUUUAUACAAUCUUUCUUCUUUUUUUUUUUUUUUUUUUUUUUUUUUUUAAUCACAAAACAUGAAAUACCCCCACACUUAUUCUUUUGCCAAACAUCUUCACAGUACUUCACAAACGUUUCUCAUAAGACAAUUUCGCAUUGCUCACUUGGAAAGGGUAAGGAAAAAUGUUUCAGGUAUAAGGGUAGACAUAUCUGGUGAUAAGAAAUAAAAGCUCAACAUACACGGCUCAAAUUGGCAAUCUAAUGAUAUCAUUUUUCUUUGGGAAACAUGGUUAUUUGGGCCAUGGUGGUAAACCUAAUGCCUCUAUCAUUUUCAAGUUCAUGCAAUCAAUGACAAACAAUUCGAAAGAUCGUUACGCAAGUUCUAGAGAUGUAUCUCACAUAAGUUCAUCACACAUAAAAAAAAAUAGGAGUGUAUGAAAAAUGCACACACUUUCAAUAGGCUCAAAAACUCACAUAGGAUGUAUAUGGUCACUAAAUUCACAUAUGAAGCUUUAAGUCAUACUUUAGUUUCACAUUAACAAGGCUAUGUGCAUUUGGUUUUUCAAAGAUGGUCAAACAUGUACAAAACUAACAAGAGAAUUAGGAAUUUCACCAAACACAUGUUAACUAAGUUCUUGAUGAUCAUGGUUCAAAUUUUUGAUCCAAUUAUAUCAUUGGGUCGGGAAACUAACAAAAAUCUGAUUCAGAACAAUAAGGGAAACAAGACAAUAUUUUUGGAUUUUUAAAUUUUCCGAUUUUUUUUUUUAUUUUUUUUUAAUUUUAUUUUAUUUUUUUAAGAAAACAAAAACUAACAACACAGAAACAAAUGAAAUUCUAGAGAUUUCUACCCCCACACUUAAACUUGACAUUGUCCCCAAUGUCAGAAAACACUAUAACGCAAAAUAAAAAUAAAAUAAAAUAAAUAAAUAAUAAGAAACAAAAUAAAGCAAUUGGACUGAAAACUUCCCUAGUUUGCAGUAAAAUCAAGCGAUGACCCCCAAGCUAAAAUUCUGCAAUCAACUUCAAGGGUGGAAAUAACCAAAAGUUCCUGCAAAGAAAAGAAAUAAUUCAGUUAAGAGUAACGCAAGAAAAUUAAUUAAAAAAAAAUUGCAAACGAAAAAUUGAAAAUUACGAUAAAAGAUAAUGAAUAAAACUAAUAAGUAAUCAUUAGUCGUGCUUGUUGACUUUCCACAGCGUUCCUCUUGAACAGGGUGACACUUAGCUUUUUACUUGCAAGUGAUGAUUUGAUGAUAUUGUACGGCGAAGCUUUGCUCUUUGGUUAUGUUGCAGUUCCUUAUUUGUUCUCCAAGCAGAUGUGGCAGCUUCUCUAGUUCCUCAGUUCGGACUCCUUCCGCUGGAUGAUGAUUGUGCAAGCUGCAUUCUUCUCUGCUUGUUUCUUCUGCACAACGGGCAGGCACGAGGGAAAGGUGUUGGUCCUUAUUUCUUUCUUCAAUCUUUCCAAGUGCCCACUUCUUGCUUUCUUUCUCCUUGUCCCUAGCUGAAUUGUCUCCACAUGCUUCGAGGUAUCAUUUUCACUUCCCUUACUGUCCCCCAGGCAGAUGUGGUAGACGAAGAGAAAGCAUAAAAAAUGAUGAAGAUGAGUACUCGAGAGCAAGGCUAGGUAAGCAAUCAGGAAAGGGUUCCAGGCAGUUGGCUCCAGAUUGGAAGAUUGAUACCAAAUGCUGGCUGAUUGCUCUCUUUCUCCUUGUCGGAAAACAAAGACAAGGAGAAGGACAUGGAGAAAGCAUGAUAUGAGAUACUCUUGCUUUCAACCUUUAUGAUAUGAAAUACUUUUGCUUUGAAUGGGUUGUUCGCAGGAGUAUCCCAAGGAAUGAGGAACACAGAGUGACUCGAGAGGAUUCUUUGGGAAUGCAUUUUUCGGAGAUGAAGAGGUGUUGAGAGGGUGUGCUGAGAGAGUGUGCUUUUGCUGUGGAAGGCGAAGGUAGAAACUUAUAGGACUUGUCUUCACAACCGGAACUGUUCUCUCACUUAGUGUCGGCAGCCGGUGGAUGGGUGAAGAAUACAAAUUACGCGCUUUCUGACAAAGCUGCCCGUAAUUUCCGCAAAGCUGCCAGUUGCAUGUGACAAGUGCUGACUAGGCUGAGAGAGACAGAUGGUUGGAAUCGGCACUUCGACAGACUGCCCGUGAUUUUUCGCAGAGCUGAGUUUGCGUGUGACGGGUGACAACACGUCUGGACGAAUUGAUCUUGCGAAAUCCGGGGUUCGGCUCGUGGUUUCUGAGCAAGCCCAACUUUUAAGAAAUGAACGCCUCUUUUGAGAAAAGAAUCCGGCUUUUGAGAACGGAAACUCCUCUUUUGAGAAAAGAAUCCGGCUUUUGAGAAAGAAGCCCCGACUCUUCGAUUUGCGAGAGGACGUUUCUCUGAGGAGCGCCUCUUUGAUUUCUUCUUUUUAUAGAGGCGUUAAUUUUGUUCCACAACACACUUGAGUACCCUCCUGUAAACACUCCCUUCUUGCACUUGUUUAAUCUUGAUCAGUCCAACUCUCUUCUUUCUUUACCACCUCUGAAAAAUGUCUGGCCCUUCUGAUCGUCGUUUUGACUUGAACAUUGGUGAAGAGGCAGCUCCGCCUUCACCAGACAACAUAUGGCGGCCAUCCUUCAUAUCCCCUACCGGUCCCCUCACCGUGGGGGAUUCGAUGAUGAAAAAUGACAUGACCGCUGCGGUGGUGGCCCGAAACCUUGUCACUCCCAGAGAUAACAGACUGCUCGCAAGGCGGUCUGAUGAAUUGGCGGUCAAGGAGUCUCUGGCUCUCAGUGUGCAGUGUGCGGGUUCCGUAUCCAACAUGGCCCAACGCCUAUAUGCCCGAACCCGUCACGUUGAAUCCUUGGUGGCUGAAAUACAGAGUCUCAAGCAAGAGAUUAAAGGGCUCAAGCAUGAGAAUAAGGAAUUGCACAAGCUCGCACACAGCUAUGCCACCAGCAUGAAGAGGAAGAUUGACCAGAUGCAGGACACCGAUGGUCAAAUUUUACUUGAUCAUCGGAGGUUUGUGGGUUUGUUCCAACCGCAUCUGCCUUCGUCUUCUGGGGCGGCACCGCGUAGUGAAGCUCCAACUGAUCAACCUCUGCUGCCUCUUCCUUCUGUGGCCCCGCCGACUGCUGAAGCCCCGCCUACUACUGAAGCACCACCCGACCAAUGAAUACUAUUAGUUUACAUCAUUGUAAAAUUUUAAUUUUAAUUUUUUUUUUUUUUUUUAUGUAUUUUUUUUUUUUGAUUUUUUAAUUGUUUUUUUUUUAUUUUUUUUAUUUUUCAUUAAUUUUAAAUUUUAUCUUUUUUUUUUUUUUUAAUUGUUUUUUUUUUUUUGUAAAUUAAUGUAAAGAGACUUUGGUUAACCUUCCCCCACACUUAAACUAAGUAAUACAAACUCACAGAAAUCAACCAAAUAACACAACUAACUAAACAAAACAAAAUGAAAGUAGUAAAGAUAAGGGUGUAAAAAUGCAAAUCUGAUUGGGUUAGCGAUUCCAAAGUCUCCCUUCGUUGAAUGCUUGGGUUGCCUCCCAAGAAGCGCUUGAUUUAACGUCUUUAGCCGGACGCAUCUUUCCUUUAAAUUUCCCUCAGCUCCAUUUGUGCCUAAAAUCAAAGAAAGAAAAAUAAAUCAAAUAUCAAAAGUAAAAUACACAAACACCAAUAUAAACAUAAACAAAAACAAAAAUAAAAGGAUUAGCAAAGUUACUAAUCCCCGGCAACGGCGCCAAAAUUUGAUGCGUAAAAUAAGUUAACACACAAAUUAAACCCUCUUUUUGACAAUUGUAGUAUAGAUGUAAGUAGGGUAUCGUUCUAGGCCGGGGAUUAGGAGGGAUUGCUAAUCUAUUCUAAAUUAAUUUAAAAAUAUUAAAUAAGACUCAAGGACACAAAACUAGGCUAAAAACUCUAAUAACUCGAAACACACUUAGGAUAACUCAAAAUAAUGAAAACAAUCAAAUUAGACACUAGGAACUGCAAUGGAUGGAAAUUAAAUUAAAAGACUAACAAUAAAGAAAACUAAAUAAAUAAUAUAAUUUAAUAAUGGAUGGGUGUUUGGUUUUGAUGAAAAGUAAAUUAAACUUAAUUAAAUUACAGAAUUGACAAAAACAUAAAAUUAAGGUAAAAUGAUAAAUGACGGACUAGCUAGAGGGUUCUUCUCCACACAUGUUAUACUUGCAUACAAAAUGAUUUCCAGUUGUUCAUUUAAUAAAUUUUGAAUCUCAAUACUCCAGAUUAACAUUGAAUAGCACUUUUUUAAUCUUCAAGUUUUCCUUAAGUUAUUGAAUUGGACGGAAAAACGCAUACAACAAUUCAAAACAUUCUUCAAAAGUCCCCUACGUGAAAAGCACAAUAGCGAUACAAUCAAAGAUCAUUAAACUUUGUGAAAACUAUAAGCAUUGACGAGGCAUUCGUAACUAUGAAAAGCAUGAUACUCUUGCCAAGAAUUUACUUAACGUGAUUGUGACUAGCAACCUUUACUACUUGUGAAAAUAAGUUCAUAACGAUUAGGUGAAAUUCACUUAUAUUCUAGCAUCAAAUUCAUGCAUGUAAAUUAAGCGUGCACUCUCAACCAACAUACAGCAUCAAAUUCAUGCAUGUAAAUUAAGCGUGCACUCUCAACCAACAUACACAAAUCAGUUUUUAUACGAACGGAUAAGUAAAUUGAAAUCACAACUUAUGAAAUCACAACUGAAGGUAAUCAAUUCAUAUUACAAAUAUAUUCAUGGUUUCGAAUUAACCUCUAGCCAAAAUAAAUUUAAUUACACAUUAUUAAAACAAAAAUAAAAUAGAAGUUUGGAAAGAGUUAACCGAGAAAAUAGAUUGAAGCCUUCUGCUCUCUGUGCUCUGAUGCUUCUUCUGCUGUGCUUCUCAUCUCCCUCCCGCGCUGCCUCUCACUCCUCUCUUCUCUGACUUUUCUUCUGCUGCCAAGGCAGCCUCUCCUCGCGGACUCCCCUUGCUUGCGUCUGUCUCUCCCUUUGCUAUUCUUUGCGCCAC
rnacentral:lncRNA from 1 species